rnacentral:rRNA from 1 species
CUCCAUGGUUAAUACCCAUGGACGAUGACAUUAGCUGCAGAAUAAGCACCGGCUAACUCUGUGCCAGCAGCCGCGGUAAUACAGAGGGUGCAAGCGUUAAUCGGAAUUACUGGGCGUAAAGCGAGCGUAGGUGGCUUGAUAAGUCAGAUGUGAAAGCCCCGGGCUUAACCUGGGAACGGCAUCUGAUACUGUUAGGCUAGAGUAGGUGAGAGGAAGGUAGAAUUCCAGGUAUAGCGGUGAAAUGCGUAGAGAUCUGAAGGAAUACCGAUGGCGAAGGCAGCUUCCUGGCAUCAUACUGACACUGAGGCUCGAAAGCGUGGGUAGCAAACAGGAUUAGAUACCCUGGUAGUCCACGCCGUAAACGAUGUC